UACGUAGGUGGCAAGCGUUGUCCGGAAUUAUUGGGCGUAAAGCGCGCGCAGGCGGCCUUUUAAGUCUGAUGUGAAAGCCCACGGCUCAACCGUGGAAGGUCAUUGGAAACUGAAAGGCUUGAGUACAGAAGAGGAAAGCGGAAUUCCACGUGUAGCGGUGAAAUGCGUAGAGAUGUGGAGGAACACCAGUGGCGAAGGCGGCUUCUGGUCUGUAACUGACGCUGGAGGCGAC
rnacentral:rRNA from 1 species